CCCGGGGUAGCUCAGCCUGGAAGAGCUUCCGGCUGUAGACCGGAGUGUCGCCGGUUCAAAUCCGGCCCCCGGGACCA
rnacentral:tRNA from 1 species